rnacentral:rRNA from 1 species
AUACGGAGGGUCCAAGCGUUAUCCGGAAUCAUUGGGUUUAAAGGGUCCGCAGGCGGUCAAUUAAGUCAGAGGUGAAAGCCCAUCGCUCAACGAUGGAACUGCCUUUAAUACUGGUUGACUUGAGUUAUACGGAAGUAGAUAGAAUAAGUAGUGUAGCGGUGAAAUGCAUAGAUAUUACUUAGAAUACCGAUUGCGAAGGCAGUCUACUACGUAUAUUCUGACGCUGAGGGACGAAAGCGUGGGGAGCGAACAGGAUUAGAAACCCUAGUAGUCC